GCAUAUCAAUAAGCGGAGGAAAAGAAACUAACAAGGAUUCCCCUAGUAACGGCGAGUGAAGAGGGAAGAGCCCAAGAUUGAAAGCUGGCGUCUUCGGCGUCCGCAUUGUAAUCUCAAGAAGUGUUUUCCGCUUCGGACCAUGCCUAAGUCCCUUGGAAAAGGGCAUCAUAGAGGGUGAGAAUCCCGUACAUGGCAUGGAGCGCCCGAGGCUUUGUGAUACGCUUUCUACGAGUCGAGUUGUUUGGGAAUGCAGCUCAAAAUGGGUGGUAAAUGCCAUCUAAGGCUAAAUAUUGGGGAGAGACCGAUAGCGAACAAGUACAGUGAUGGAAAGAUGAAAAGAACUUUGAAAAGAGAGUUAAACAGUACGUGAAAUUGCCAAAAGGGAAGGGUAGGAGGUCAGAGAUGCGUCUUGGGAUUCAGCCUUGCAUUUUUUGUUUGGUGUUUUUCCCAAGUUUGCAGGCCAACGUCGGUUUUGGGCACUGGAGAAGGGUGGAAGGAACGUGGCACCUCUCGGGGUGUGUUAUAGCCUUCUACUGGAUACAGCGACCGAGACCGAGGACAGCAGCGUACUCGCAAGAGCGGGCCUUCGGGCACCUUUACGCUUAGGGCGUUGGCAUAAUGGCCCUCUACCACCCGUCUUGAAACACGGACC
rnacentral:rRNA from 1 species